CAUUUCACCGUCCAUAACUAAAACCAUAUAAACUUAAAUCUUUGGUAUAUGCGGUAUUCAAUUGGACCAUAAAAAACUUAUGAUUAACUAUUCCUCUUAAGGAUAUCGCCUUAAAGAUAUAUUCCUUAAUAAAGUUAAAAACCAACAGUAAAUCAUA